rnacentral:rRNA from 1 species
UACGGAGGGGGCAAGCGUUAUUCGGAAUUAUUGGGCGUAAAGCGCGCGCAGGCGGUCCUUUAAGUCUGAUGUGAAAGCCCACGGCUCAACCGUGGAGGGUCAUUGGAAACUGGGGGACUUGAGUGCAGAAGAGGAAAGCGGAAUUCCACGUGUAGCGGUGAAAUGCGUAGAGAUGUGGAGGAACACCAGUGGCGAAGGCGGCUUUCUGGUCUGUAACUGACGCUGAGGCGCGAAAGCGUGGGGAGCAAACAGG